AUGCUUUAAAAGCAACACAUAUAUUAAAUGAAUGAUACAGAGGAGAUCAGAAUGACUCCUGCAUAAAGAUGGCACAAAUUUACAAAAUGUUCCAUAUCUUU
rnacentral:snRNA from 1 species